rnacentral:rRNA from 1 species
UGGGCGUAAGCGUGUGUAGGCGGUUCGGAAAGAAAGAUGUGAAAUCCCAGGGCUCAACCUUGGAACUGCAUUUUUAACUGCCGAGCUAGAGUAUGUCAGAGGGGGGUAGAAUUCCACGUGUAGCAGUGAAAUGCGUAGAUAUGUGGAGGAAUACCGAUGGCGAAGGCAGCCCCCUGGGAUAAUACUGACGCUCAGACACGAAAGCGUGGGGAGCAAACAGGAUUAGAUACCCUGGUAGUCCACGCCCUAAACGAUGUCAACUAGCUGUUGGGGCCGUUAGGCCUUAGUAGCGCAGCUAACGCGUGAAGUUGACCGCCUGGGGAGUACGGUCGCAAGAUUAAAACUCAAAGGAAUUGACGGGGACCCGCACAAGCGGUGGAUGAUGUGGAUUAAUUCGAUGCAACGCGAAAAACCUUACCUACCCUUGACAUGUCUGGAAAGCCGAAGAGAUUUGGCCGUGCUCGCAAGAGAACCGGAACACAGGUGCUGCAUGGCUGUCGUCAGCUCGUGUCGUGAGAUGUUGGGUUAAGUCCCGCAACGAGCGCAACCCUUGUCAUUAGUUGCUACGCAAGAGCACUCUAAUGAGACUGCCGGUGACAAACCGGAGGAAGGUGGGGAUGACGUCAAGUCCUCAUGGCCCUUAUGGGUAGGGCUUCACACGUCAUACAAUGGUCGGGACAGAGGGUCGCCAACCCGCGAGGGGGAGCCAAUCUCAGAAACCCGAUCGUAGUCCGGAUCGCAGUCUGCAACUCGACUGCGUGAAGUCGGAAUCGCUAGUAAUCGCGGAUCAGAAUGUCGCGGUGAAUACGUUCCCGGGUCUUGUACACACCGCCCGUCACACCAUGGGAGUGGGUUUCACCAGAAGUAGGUAGCCUAACCGCAAGGAGGGCGCUACC